UACUAUGUUACGACUUAUCUCAUCUUAAUAACGAGAGUGACGGGCGAUGUGUGCACAUUUUAGAGCUAAAAUCAUUAAAAUAAUUCUUAUUAAUAAUUACUAUUAAAUCCCCCUUCAUAAAACAAUUCCAGACCAUAAUCCGUUUAUCUUAUAAAUAUUGUAAUCCAUUUCCACUCAACCAUCAACUGCACCUUGACCUGAAAUAAAAUUAAUCAUAAUUUAAAGAAAAUUAACCCUAAAAAGAUCUUCAAACAAACGGCGGUAUACAUACUAAAUUAUAUUGAGUAAGGUUCAACGCGGAUUAUCGAUAACGGAACAGAUUCCUCUAACUAGACUAAAAUACCGCCAAAUUCUUUAAGUUUCAAGAUCAUACCUAAUACUACUCAAGUUAAAAAUUUUAAAUCUUAAUAUAAUAGGGUAUCUAAUCCUAGUUU
rnacentral:rRNA from 1 species